AUUUAUAUAGUUUAAUAAAAACAUUACAUUUUCAUUGUAAAAAUAAAAAAUUCUUUUUUAUAAAUA
rnacentral:tRNA from 1 species